rnacentral:misc_RNA from 1 species
UUGUCCCAGUUCAAUUUGGACACCAAAAACUUCUCACAGCAACUCUUGAGAUGCUUCACCUGGUAUUUUUCAGCCAACACUAAAAGGUCGCAGGCCAGUUGCUCAUCAAGGCAUGCUUCAGCAGUGUAUAAAUAGUUGACAAAUGAGCGAAGGGCAUCAUAUGAUACGUCACUAAUCUUGAUGGUGCCACUUCGGCUUUCUUCCAUCUCAUUCUCAAGCAUUGCUUUAAACACUGGAGAACGACUCGCCAAAACAGCCUUAUGGGCAGGGACAGACAAGGGAGACCCAGUUGGUCCACUAUCGGAGGAGGCGACCAAAACGACGUCAGUGAAACAGGGUCCAGAGGACCUAUUGCUGUGGUGGUGAUCCAGCGGAGACCAGAAUCGCAAGAAGGCAACUUU